UGUUGCAUGGUGCAUGUGUAGAUGAGAAAAGUAGGUCAGAAAUCAGAAAGCUGAGAGAUAAGCUGAACACGGAUGUAAAACAGGCGAUUGAUGAGCUGCGACUUCAAGUAGAACUCCGUAGAACUGUUUAGAGCUGUAAACAAUUGAUUUCCCGGCUGGGUUUUUUAGAGUCCUUCAAUUGGGUCCUCAGUCCUGGGUUCCUCUACCAUCUUCUGCUGUCAUCCAUCUGCAUCUUCAUCCUGGUUGCUACUCACCUUCAGGAAAGGGAUCAUCCACGUCCACAUCUCCAUAUCUUUACCAUUGCAAUACUCACCUUGGACAUUCACUGUGGAAGAGGGUGGUGCAAUCCUGCGGGUGAAAAACGCUUGUGGAAGCAGCUGAAAAUGAAGUAUAAGAACAUAGUUCAAACAGCCAACAGAAAGAAGGCAGAGGCCUGAAAAACUGGUGGAGGACCAGCACCACCACCUCUAACAGAGGCAGAGGAGCUGGCCCUGAGCCAGAAUGAAGGAAGGCCAGUGGCUGAAGGAAUCCCUGGAGGGAGCUCUUCCUCUGAGCCAGCCACAUCACAGGACACAAGUGCCUUCAUAAGAUGA